rnacentral:rRNA from 1 species
UAGGGAAUCUUCCGCAAUGGGCGAAAGCCUGACGGAGCAACGCCGCGUGAGUGAUGAAGGUCUUCGGAUCGUAAAACUCUGUUAUUAGGGAAGAACAAAUGUGUAAGUAACUAUGCACGUCUUGACGGUACCUAAUCAGAAAGCCACGGCUAACUACGUGCCAGCAGCCGCGGUAAUACGUAGGUGGCAAGCGUUAUCCAGAAUUAUUGGGCGUAAAGCGCGCGUAGGCGGUUUUUUAAGUCUGAUGUGAAAGCCCACGGCUCAACCGUGGAGGGUCAUUGGAAACUGGAAAACUUGAGUGCAGAAGAGGAAAGUGGAAUUCCAUGUGUAGCGGUGAAAUGCGCAGAGAUAUGGAGGAACACCAGUGGCGAAGGCGACUUUCUGGUCUGUAACUGACGCUGAUGUGCGAAAGCGUGGGGAUCAAACAGG